rnacentral:lncRNA from 1 species
GCUUCCUGGUGGGGUGUCCCCUUGCGGUGUUCAGAGGUGGUUUCUAAGGUGCAGCUUCUCUGUUGUGUCCUGACUGUGAACAGCACCCACCCUGUAUCCAGUAAUUAAUCUCACUCCGCCCUCCCCACGCGGCCUUCUGCCUUCGCUUUACUCUGCUGUUUCAUCACCAAGCUCUCUUCAGGUCAAACUGUGUGAGGGUGGAAGACGUGGCUCUGUGGAAGCCAGCAUCAAGCCUCUCCUGGGAAAGUGGAGAUUCUUAGUUUUUAUCUUAAACUACGCCCUGCCUACAGCAGGGAGGGGGAGAGGAAGCGGGUGUGUGUGAACCAGUGCUACAGUGAAGGGGCCAACAGAGACAUGGGUCUCCAGAGGAGAGUAAAGAACACAUUGCUUAGCUUGGAUUCGAUCAACUGCUCGUACAGCACAUCGCUAAUCUUCAUUGUGUACCUCAAAGCGUUCCGUCAUGGCCUCUGACUGCUCUUCUGAUCCUGCUCUGGACUGCCAAGGAGGGUUUUGCUGUGUAGCUCAACUGGGUCUUGGACUUGAGGUCUUCUUGCCUCCAUUCCCAUGGCAUAGAACUCCAGGCACGUCCACCAAGUUGAGUGAUUAUGCCUGCGGAAGUGUGGCAUCUCCAUGGCGUGAGUCUAUCCUGAGGAUGGAUUCUCAUUAAGCAAGCUCCUGCUUUCUGACCUGCUUGAGUUCCAGUCCUGACUUCCUUUGGUGAUGAACAGCAAUGUGGAAAAUGUAAGCUGAAUAAACUCUUUCCUCCCCAA